rnacentral:rRNA from 1 species
GACGAACGCUGGCGGCGUGCCUAAUACAUGCAAGUCGUACGCUUCUUUUUCCACCGGAGCUUGCUCCACCGGAAAAAGAAGAGUGGCGAACGGGUGAGUAACACGUGGGUAACCUGCCCAUCAGAAGGGGAUAACACUUGGAAACAGGUGCUAAUACCGUAUAACAAUCGAAACCGCAUGGUUUUGAUUUGAAAGGCGCUUUCGGGUGUCGCUGAUGGAUGGACCCGCGGUGCAUUAGCUAGUUGGUGAGGUAACGGCUCACCAAGGCCACGAUGCAUAGCCGACCUGAGAGGGUGAUCGGCCACAUUGGGACUGAGACACGGCCCAAACUCCUACGGGAGGCAGCAGUAGGGAAUCUUCGGCAAUGGACGAAAGUCUGACCGAGCAACGCCGCGUGAGUGAAGAAGGUUUUCGGAUCGUAAAACUCUGUUGUUAGAGAAGAACAAGGAUGAGAGUAACUGUUCAUCCCUUGACGGUAUCUAACCAGAAAGCCACGGCUAACUACGUGCCAGCAGCCGCGGUAAUACGUAGGUGGCAAGCGUUGUCCGGAUUUAUUGGGCGUAAAGCGAGCGCAGGCGGUUUCUUAAGUCUGAUGUGAAAGCCCCCGGCUCAACCGGGGAGGGUCAUUGGAAACUGGGAGACUUGAGUGCAGAAGAGGAGAGUGGAAUUCCAUGUGUAGCGGUGAAAUGCGUAGAUAUAUGGAGGAACACCAGUGGCGAAGGCGGCUCUCUGGUCUGUAACUGACGCUGAGGCUCGAAAGCGUGGGGAGCAAACAGGAUUAGAUACCCUGGUAGUCCACGCCGUAAACGAUGAGUGCUAAGUGUUGGAGGGUUUCCGCCCUUCAGUGCUGCAGCUAACGCAUUAAGCACUCCGCCUGGGGAGUACGACCGCAAGGUUGAAACUCAAAGGAAUUGACGGGGGCCCGCACAAGCGGUGGAGCAUGUGGUUUAAUUCGAAGCAACGCGAAGAACCUUACCAGGUCUUGACAUCCUUUGACCACUCUAGAGAUAGAGCUUCCCCUUCGGGGGCAAAGUGACAGGUGGUGCAUGGUUGUCGUCAGCUCGUGUCGUGAGAUGUUGGGUUAAGUCCCGCAACGAGCGCAACCCUUAUUGUUAGUUGCCAUCAUUUAGUUGGGCACUCUAGCAAGACUGCCGGUGACAAACCGGAGGAAGGUGGGGAUGACGUCAAAUCAUCAUGCCCCUUAUGACCUGGGCUACACACGUGCUACAAUGGGAAGUACAACGAGUCGCGAAGUCGCGAGGCUAAGCUAAUCUCUUAAAGCUUCUCUCAGUUCGGAUUGUAGGCUGCAACUCGCCUACAUGAAGCCGGAAUCGCUAGUAAUCGCGGAUCAGCACGCCGCGGUGAAUACGUUCCCGGGCCUUGUACACACCGCCCGUCACACCACGAGAGUUUGUAACACCCGAAGUCGGUGAGGUAACCUUUUGGAGCCAGCCGCCUAAGGUGGGAUAGAUGAUUGGGGUGAAG